rnacentral:rRNA from 1 species
UACGAAGGGGGCUAGCGUUGCUCGGAAUCACUGGGCGUAAAGCGCACGUAGGCGGCUUGUUAAGUCAGGGGUGAAAUCCUGGAGCUCAACUCCAGAACUGCCUUCGAUACUGAGAGUCUCGAGUCCGAGAGAGGUGAGUGGAACUGCGAGUGUAGAGGUGAAAUUCGUAGAUAUUCGCAAGAACACCAGUGGCGAAGGCGGCUCACUGGCUCGGUACUGACGCUCAUGAGCGAAAGCGUGGGGAGCGAGUCCGG